GACGAACGCUGGCGGCGUGCUUAACACAUGCAAGUCGAACGGAAAGGCCCUGCUUUUGUGGGGUGCUCGAGUGGCGAACGGGUGAGUAACACGUGAGUAACCUGCCCUUGACUUUGGGAUAACUUCAGGAAACUGGGGCUAAUACCGGAUAGGAGCUCCUGCUGCAUGGUGGGGGUUGGAAAGUUUCGGCGGUUGGGGAUGGACUCACGGCUUAUCAGCUUGUUGGUGGGGUAGGGGCUUACCAAGGCUUUGACGGGUAGCCGGCCUGAGAGGGUGACCGGCCACAUUGGGACUGAGAUACGGCCCAGACUCCUACGGGAGGCAGAAGUGGGGAAUAUUGCUCAAUGGGCGGAAGCCUGAUGCAGCAACGCCGCGUGCGGGAUGACGGCCUUCGGGUUGUAAACCGCUUUCGCCUGUGACGAAGCGUGAGUGACGGUAAUGGGUAAAGAAGCACCGGCUAACUACGUG
rnacentral:rRNA from 1 species